rnacentral:rRNA from 1 species
UACGUAGGGUGCGAGCGUUUGUCCGGAUUUAUUGGGCGUAAAGAGCUUGUAGGCGGUUUGUCGCGUCUGCUGUGAAAAUCCGGGGCUCAACCCCGGACUUGCAGUGGGUACGGGCAGACUAGAGUGUGGUAGGGGAGACUGGAAUUCCUGGUGUAGCGGUGAAAUGCGCAGAUAUCGGGAGGAACACCAAUGGCGAAGGCAGCUCGCUGGGACGGUACUGACGCUGAGACGCGAAAGCGUGGGGAGCGAACAGG